rnacentral:rRNA from 1 species
GUCGUAACAAGGUCUCCGUUGGUGAACCAGCGGAGGGAUCAUUAACGAGUUCCAUUCUCCUUAAUACACCCGUGAACGUUUCUUCAACUGUUCGUUGCUUCGGCGGGCGGCCCCGGGGAGGGGCCGCAGCCCGCAAGGGCGCCCGCCGGCGGCAGCGCAGCACAACUCUUGCGAUUUAGGCCCCUCUGAGAAGACACUAAAUGAGUCAAAACUUUCAACAACGGAUCUCUUGGUUCUGGCAUCGAUGAAGAACGCAGCGAAAUGCGAUAAGUAAUGUGAAUUGCAGAACUCAGCGAAUCAUCGAAUCUUUGAACGCACAUUGCGCCCGCCGGCAUUCCGGCGGGCAUGCCUGUUCGAGCGUCAUUUCAACCCUCGAGCCCUGCUCGGUGUUGGGGCCCCGCGGCCGCCGCGGGCCCUGAAAAGAAGUGGCGGGCGCGCCUGGACCCGUAGCGCAGUAAUACACCUCGCUCGCGGCGUCCCGGCGCGUGCCGGCCGUAAAACCCCUUUAUCUCAAGGUUGACCUCGGAUCAGGUAGGAAUACCCGCUGAACUUAAGCAUAUCAA